UACGUAGGGUGCAAGCGUUAAUCGGAAUUGACUGGACGUAAAGCGUGCGUAGACGGUCAUGUAAGUCGGGUGUGAAAGCCCCGGGCUCAACCUGGGAAUUGCAUUCGAGACUGCAUGGCUAGGAUGCGGAAGAGGGAAGCGGAAUUUCCGGUGUAGCGGUGAAAUGCGUAGAUAGUCGGAAGGAACACCAGUGGCGAAAGCGGCUUCCUGGUCCAGCAUCGA
rnacentral:rRNA from 1 species